ensembl:lncRNA
CAGGUACCGCAUUAGCGCGGCCCCACUCAACGCCAAGGGGGAACACCUGCGAAGAGGAAGGGGAUCAGAUGCAGGUGAGGGACAAAAGUGGAGCUGAAACGCUACCGAGAGGAACGUGUGGGUCCAAUACACGAUCUCGGACCGGACCGAGAUUCAUUCCCCGGACGGACCAUUGCCCAGAGACUCGUUCCAAAGGAGACCGGAGGACGAUACAGACGGACGUCCGCAUCCAGUGACCGGGACAGCAUAAACAAUAGCAGUGUCUCGGGAUGCUUCCUAAGCAGGCGGGCAAUACAGGUAACAUGGUGGCAUGGGACUCUAAUGCAGAAGGAGGCAUGGGAAACAUCCUAACUACGUGCCUGUAAUUGCCAACAUUUGAUGAUGGUGGAAAGAUAAAAACGUCCCUAAUGCGUUUUCGCAUUAGGAUUCGUGUGGACGCCUGAUACGCAAACGAUGACGUCAUCUCCCCCCUACCUGCUGGGCAACGUUUUGAGAUAUUCCUGAAACACAGCCAAGGAAGACGGAGGGGAAAAGUGUUUUCCAACCUUUU